GACGUACGCUGGCGGCGUGCCUAAUACAUGCAAGUCGAACGCAGUGGGGAUGGGUGAGUAACAUGUGGGUAACCUCCCAUCAGAGGGGAUAACACUUGGAAACAGGUGCUAAACCGUUACUGAUGGAUGGACCCGCGGUGUAUUAGCGAGGUGGUGAGGUAACGGCUCACCAAGGCGACGCUGGAUAGCCGACCUGAGAGGGGGCUCGGCCACACGGGACCUGAGAGACGGCCCCGACUCCGAAGGGAGGCAGCAGUAGGGAAGCUUCGGCAAGGGACGACAGUCUGACCGAGCAGCGCCGCGCGAGUGAAGAGGGUCUUCGGUUCGGAAAACUCUGUUGUUAGUGAAGCGGUAUCUAACCAGAAAGCCACGGCUAACUACGUGCCAGCAGCCGCGGUAAUUC
rnacentral:rRNA from 1 species